rnacentral:misc_RNA from 1 species
AGCAUGGAAGCCACAACUUUAGCCCCAAGUAGAGGAUGCCCCGUAUAGUACCCUAAAAUCCGGAACAGAAAACCAACUACAAUAGGUGAUAUAAUAGCCAAAGCACCAGGCUUAAUCAUCUCCCUCAAAGAAGCAGAUGCCACAAUUGCGACACAGCGACCAUAGUCUUAUAGCCUUGGCCGACAGGCAAUACCAGGCCUCUCAAUAAACUGCCUCCUUACUUCAUUAACAACCUCCUGAGCAGUUCGGCCAACAGCUGAGCAGGCCCAUCCACUGAACAAGAAAAUAAGCAUAGAGCCCAACAAUCCACCAAUAAAAACUUCAGGAAUGGCAAUAUCAACCUGGUUGAAAGGUUCAUGGGAAAAUGCAGCAACCUCAUCCAUAUAAGCACUAAAUAGAAGGAAAGAUGCAAGUGCGGCAGAUCCAAUGGCAAAACCUUUGGUUGUA